rnacentral:rRNA from 1 species
UAAUACCGCAUAAGCCCACGGCUCGGCAUCGAGCAGAGGGAAAAGGAGCAAUCCGCUUUGAGAUGGCCUCGCGUCCGAUUAGCUAGUUGGUGAGGUAAUGGCCCACCAAGGCGACGAUCGGUAGCCGGACUGAGAGGUUGAACGGCCACAUUGGGACUGAGACACGGCCCAGACUCCUACGGGAGGCAGCAGUGGGGAAUAUUGCACAAUGGGGGAAACCCUGAUGCAGCGACGCCGCGUGGAGGAAGAAGGUCUUCGGAUUGUAAACUCCUGUUGUUGAGGAAGAUAAUGACGGUACUCAACAAGGAAGUGACGGCUAACUACGUGCCAGCAGCCGCGGUAAAACGUAGGUCACAAGCGUUGUCCGGAAUUACUGGGUGUAAAGGGAGCGCAGGCGGGAGAACAAGUUGGAAGUGAAAUCCAUGGGCUCAACCCAUGAACUGCUUUCAAAACUGUUUUUCUUGAGUAGUGCAGAGGUAGGCGGAAUUCCCGGUGUAGCGGUGGAAUGCGUAGAUAUCGGGAGGAACACCAGUGGCGAAGGCGGCCUACUGGGCACCAACUGACGCUGAGGCUCGAAAGUGUGGGUAGCAAACAGGAUUAGAUACCCUGGUAGUCCACACCGUAAACGAUGAUUACUAGGUGUUGGAGGAUUGACCCCUUCAGUGCCGCAGUUAACACAAUAAGUAAUCCACCUGGGGAGUA